rnacentral:rRNA from 1 species
GUAGGUGGCAAGCGUUGUCCGGAAUUAUUGGGGCGUAAAGCGCGCGCAGGCGGUUCUUUUAAGUCUGAUGUGAAAGCCCACGGGCUCAACCGUGGAGGGGUCAUUGGAAACUGGAGAACUUGAGUACAGAAGAGGAAAGCGGAAUUCCACGUGUAGCGGUGAAAUGCGUAGAGAUGUGGAGGAACACCAGUGGCGAAGGCGGCUUUCUGGUCUGUAACUGACGCUGAGGCGCGAAAGCGUGGGGAGCAAGCAGGAUUAGAUACCCUGGUAGUCCACGCCGUAAACGAUGAGUGCUAAGUGUUAGGGGGUUUCCGCCCCUUAGUGCUGCAGCUAUCGCAUUAAGCACUCCGCCUGGGGAGUACGGCCGCAAAGGCUGA